UACGAAGGGGGCUAGCGUUGCUCGGAAUUACUGGGCGUAAAGGGCGCGUAGGCGGAUCGUUAAGUCAGGGGUGAAAUCCCGGGGCUCAACCUCGGAACUGCCCUUGAUACUGGCGAUCUUGAGUAUGAGAGAGGUAUGUGGAACUCCGAGUGUAGAGGUGAAAUUCGUAGAUAUUCGGAAGAACACCAGUGGCGAAGGCGACAUACUGGCUCAUUACUGACGCUGAGGCGCGAAAGCGUGGGGAGCAAACAGG
rnacentral:rRNA from 1 species